AACGUGAUAUCACGAUAACGAUAUUGAGUCGAUAUAUCAUGCACCCCUACUCCCCGGCGUGAGAUUAGCCUUGAGUCUUUGCCAUAACCUGGCCAAAACCUUUGAGUAGGGAACCGCCAUCGCGCAUAUUUCAUUUUCUUUCAACACCAGCCACUCAUCUGCUGUCACCGACCAUUUGAUGAAGAGCAAAGAUGGUUAUUUUUUGGGGCAUUUUAGGCCUUUAUUUCACAGGACAGCUGAAGAUGUGAAAGUGGAGAGAGAGGGGGACUGACAUGCAACAAAUGGCCUUUAUACAUGGGGUGCAAGCUGAACCAGAAGUGUCAUGCAGCUGUGGUAAUACGAAGGCACCUGCCCUGAAUAAGAUGACGUCUGUGGCCUCAGUGAGUCAUCCAGACCCUAAAGAGCUUUGUGAAAACUAAAGUGGGCUGAAUGACUGUAGCCUUCUCCCCAACCCCCACCCCCCACCCCACAAAGCUCGGGAUGAGGCAGCUCCAAUCAUCCAGCUGAACAACAUUCACAGAAUGAGUUGUAUUAAACUGCAGGACAAGACACUGCAACUCUUUUGUAUGAUUCUAGUGCUUUGACUUUCAAGUGUGAUUACCUGGACGUAAUAUAUAAUACAGCUCUUGACAAGGCGAUGACUUUAAUCAAGCUUCAAAGGGAAUAGAAUCAUGUGACAGACACACACACACACACACACACACACACUGAUCCUAUUUUUUUCUUGUUCUUAAAAACACAGACAUGCGUGAGUCAGCCAGAAGGCUUUGCUCAGAAGUUUUACAUAUUGACAGCGUGCUUACACGCUAAACUAAGAUGGGGACCAUGGAAUACAUUACCUACUAACACUACUACUACUACAUCUGCAUGUUAGCAUUGUCAUUGUGAAGUUAUUAGCAUGCUAAACGUUAGCAUUUAGAGUACAGCCUCACAGAGCUGUUAGAGCUCCCAAUCACAAGGCAUGUGCAAAGUAGACUCAGUUGUGGCUCGGUCCUUUCCUGAUCCAAGAUUGAACCAGUUUAUUAUUCAUUUGAGACAAUAAAAUCCCUAAAAUGAUAUUGCAGAAUCCAGAUGCAUUCAAAAGUUACAGCCUACAUCCUAUUUGGAUUUUAAAGGCAUUCAAUUCAUCAGUGUGUAAAAGUCUGGUCACUACAUUACCCUGCUCUGUCAAAACAUGGUUUCAAAGACACAGACCCUUCCUUGAUAUAAAUGCUUCAGUAGUCUGGUGUCUGACUUUUAUUGGAUCGCUCUGUCACUGUGCCACUGUGGUUAUGGGAAAUCGUCUCCUGCUCACAAUUACCCAAUCAUGUUACAGUGGCAGGCGCCAUUCAUUGUUGCCUAUUGUGUGUAGUGGCAGAGAGCUGGUUAUGCCAGACCAGAAUGAUAUUUUAAUCAGAAAUUGUGCCAAUUAUGCCAAUUAUGCUGUAAAGACAGAGACAUCAACGGUCUCGCCACUUCUGAGAUUUUGCUGUAAGCAAAGUGUGGUUGGUAUUCACUGCUGGAGCAUUUGCACAAAACCGGUAGCAGGGAAGCUACCAAAACAGGGAAUCAAACAGAAACAGAGGAUAUGGAUGGGUAGACGUUGCGAAUCUUAAUAUCUGUUUCAUGACCAUUGUUCAAACCCAAACAAUUAAUAACACCUUGAUGCCAACAACUCUCUGAACACUUAAAAGUGUUGACUAGGUGGAGGAACCAAAGCUCUGCGGAACGCUGAUGUUGUGAGGAUGUUUUCCUACACAGAGCAGCUCUUGUUUGACUGCUGUCUCUUUUCAUGCGUGAAAUGAUCAGUCACACCUGUACAGUCACAGUAAAAGUGGUGGCUGUAAAGGUCCUCUGAUCUCAAUAAAAACACCAAACACCUGGGUCUGCUUGGCAACGAGUGUAUGCAUGUGUGCGAGUGAUAGCACAUACACAGAGGAGCACGCACACACACAUUCAGAGGGAAUGAAAAGCUGAAUCUAAAGUCUGAUUGUGUUUCUUGGUGGGAAGGUUUGCACCCACCUUCACUUUGAAGACAGUGAAAACAAAUGUGCAAAUCUCAGCUGUGAACAUAAUCCAUAGACUUUGCUAAGUAAACCUGCAGCCUUUGUCCUUAGACCCAAGUUGAAGAAAACAUGAUAUGAAUUUAUGUUAUGCUUAACGGAGCAAAAGAUAAGCUCUCAUCACAUUCCUUAAAGGAGUAGUUUGACAUUUUGGGAAUUAGGCUUAUUCUCUUUCCUGCCCAGAGUUAACUGAGAGGAUCGAUACCACUUCCUGUAGCCUAGGCUAUGGUAAAUAUAAAGCUGGAGCAAGGUGCUAGUUAGCUUAGCUUAGCAUAGAGACAGCAAAUGGGAAAAUUGUUGUUUUCACACUUCGGUUCUUGUACGUUUUAGAGCUAGGCUAGCUAUUUCCCUGUCCCCAGUCUUUAUGCUAAGCUAAGCUAACCGGCUGCUCACUCCAGCUUUAUGUUUACCACGUGUAUCAGUUUUCUCAUACAUAACUCUUGGAAAGAAAGCGAAUAUUAAACAAGUAUUUGAAUGUCAGACUAUGCAAGACAAGGAAUAUUGAUUGACUUAAUUUUUUCCCUG